rnacentral:rRNA from 1 species
GACGAGCGCUGGCGGCGUGCAUAACACAUGCAAGUCGAACGGAAAGGCCCUGCUUGCAGGGUACUCGAGUGGCGAACGGGUGAGUAACACGUGGGUGAUCUGCCCUGCACUUCGGGAUAAGCCUGGGAAACUGGGUCUAAUACCGGAUAGGAGCCAUUUUUAGUGUGAUGGUUGGAAAGUUUUUUCGGUGUAGGAUGAGCUCGCGGCCUAUCAGCUUGUUGGUGGGGUAAUGGCCUACCAAGGCGGCGGCGGGUAGCCGGCCUGGGAGGGUGGACGGCCACAUUGGGACUGGGAUACGGCCCAGACUCCUACGGGAGGCAGCAGUGGGGAAUAUUGCACAAUGGGCGCGAGCCUGAUGCAGCGACGCCGCGGGGGGGAUGACGGCCUUCGGGUUGUAAACUCCUUUCGCUAGGGACGAAGCUUUUUGUGACGGUACCUAGAUAAGAAGCACCGGCUAACUACGUG